CCUACGGGUGGCUGCAGUGGGGAAUAUUGGACAAUGGGGGGAACCCUGAUCCAGCCAUGCCGCGUGUGUGAAGAAGGCCCUCGGGUUGUAAAGCACUUUCAGUGAGGAAGAACGCCUGGUGGUUAAUACCCAUCAGGAAAGACAUCACUCACAGAAGAAGCACCGGCUAACUCCGUGCCAGCAGCCGCGGUAAUACGGAGGGUGCGAGCGUUAAUCGGAAUUACUGGGCGUAAAGCGCGCGUAGGUGGCUUGAUAAGCCGGUUGUGAAAGCCCCGGGCUCAACCUGGGAACGGCAUCCGGAACUGUCAAGCUAGAGUGCAGGAGAGGAAGGGAGAAUUCCCGGUGUAGCGGUGAAAUGCGUAGAGAUCGGGAGGAAUACCAGUGGCGAAGGCGGCCUUCUGGACUGACACUGACACUGAGGUGCGAAAGCGUGGGUAGCAAACAGGAUUAGAUACCCCGGUAGUC
rnacentral:rRNA from 1 species